rnacentral:misc_RNA from 1 species
AAGUCGUAACAAGGUUUCCGUAGGUGAACCUGCGGAAGGAUCAUCAUCAAUUUCAUAUCCCAACACCGCACCUGCGUGCGCGUUGGGAUCCAUGAUAAACCCUUUUGUGCACCGUAAACGUUCACUUUGGCAGGCUUUGGUGGUGAGCGUGAGCUCGUCGUCAACCUCGCGUUCUCCCUCCCCCGAGGGGUGGGGUUUCGCGUGGCGGCCUGCCGGAGUCCUCCAAUUAAAAACACGUUUUCCAACUCGACUGAAAAUUUCCUUUGAGAAAUCAAAGAACCUAAAAACAACUUUCAACAACGGAUCUCUUGGCUCUC